GUCGAAUUGUGUAUCACUUAAAAAAAUCUUAAGAAUGAUAAAAAGGAAUAUCUUUAUCAGUCGGUGUUCAUGUUAUAACCAAUAAUGUCUCGCGAUGAUAGACUUGUUUUUCCCUGACUAGGUGGGCUUUUCAUAAUUGUUUUUUUUUUAAUUUGACAGAACACUCUUAGAAAAAGAAAAUCCUGUAAUAAAGCAGAAAAGUGCAGUGGAGGUUUAAGAAAAGGGUUGUGUGUAGGAAGAGGAAGAGACGCACAUGUAUGUGCAGAAGCAGCUUUUAAAAGAUGAACAAAGACAUCAAAAUGCCGGAGAGAACACGAUGAGCACAGCCUGCUGUGUCCACAGCCUACUGUGUCUGACAGCAACACAGCUUCUCAGAGGAAGGGAUCAAAGGUUCCAUUCUUCAAACUGUGCCACACCUAUACCUCACCUCUCUCCAUUUUCCUGUCACCUGCCGGGUGUUCACACAGCAACCACAUAUUAUCCACAGAGAAACCCAGUCUCCCAAAACUAAACUAAGAGAAACAAAUAAAAUUAUUUCAUUUAUUAUGAGUAUUUUUUUGGUGAAAAAAAAUUUCUAUUAACAUAAGAAAAUGAUUAGACCCAGUUCUAGGGAUACAAAUAGACUUGCAUGUAAGGGCAUGUAUGUUCUAGAUCACUGACAUGGUCUCGCCUUCUGCUUCCC
rnacentral:lncRNA from 1 species